GGGUGUAGCUCAAUGCUAGAGUGCUUACCUAGCAAGCACAAGGGCCUGGGUUCAAUCCCCAGCACCAGACA
rnacentral:tRNA from 1 species